UACGGAGGGUGCAAGCGUUGUUCGGAAUUACUGGGCGUAAAGGGCUCGUAGGCGGCCAACUAAGUCAGACGUGAAAUCCCCAGGCUCAACCUGGGAACUGCGUCUGAUACUGGAUGGCUUGAAUUCGGGAGAGGGAUGCAGAAUUCCAGGUGUAGCGGUGAAAUGCGUAGAUAUCUGGAAGAAUACCGGUGGCGAAGGCGGCAUCCUGGACCGACAUUGACGCUGAGGAGCGAAAGCUAGGGUAGCAAACGGG
rnacentral:rRNA from 1 species